rnacentral:rRNA from 1 species
GUGAACGCUGGCGGUAGGCCUAACACAUGCAAGUCGAACGGCAGCACAGUAAGAGCUUGCUCUUACGGGUGGCGAGUGGCGGACGGGUGAGGAAUACAUCGGAAUCUACUUUUUCGUGGGGUAUAACGUAGGGAAACUUACGCUAAUACCGCAUACGACCUACGGUGAAAGCAGGGGAUUUUCGGAACUUUUCGCUUUGAAUUAACCGAUGUUGGAUUAGCUAGUUGGCGGGGUAAAGGCCCACCAAGGCGACGAUCCGUAGCUGGUCUGAGAGGAUGAUCAGCCACACUGGAACUGAGACACGGUCCAGACUCCUACGGGAGGCAGCAGUGGGGAAUAUUGGACAAUGGGCGCAAGCCUGAUCCAGCCAUACCGCGUGGGUGAAGAAGGCCUUCGGGUUGUAAAGCCCUUUUGUUGGGAAAGAAAAGCAGCAGGUUAAUACCCCGCUGUUCUGACGGUACCCAAAGAAUAAGCACCGGCUAACUUCGUG